rnacentral:lncRNA from 1 species
CCAACAUGAGCAGAUAGAAAAGCCUAUGAGUACGGAAUUUGAAAUUUCGAGUUCUAUUUCUAUUGGAGGAUCGUGAGAUGGCCCAAUUGUGCGCAUUAUCAGGAGACUGAAUUAUACAUAGUAUCAGCUUGACAUGGGACUAAGUUCUAUUAUAAAGAAUGAUUUCUUGUAGUCUCGAAUUAUGUAAUUUAUUUUAAACUCAUUCGAGCAUUUCAUACCAGAAACUUGGACGGUUUGAAGAUUGACUGUAUAAUUAUAAUGAGAAGUU